CUAAGGCUAAAUAUAGACGCGAAUUCGAUAGCAAACAAGUACUGUGAAGGAAAGUUGCAAAGAACUUUGAAGAGAGGGUUCAAGAGGACUGCCUUAACUGUUCGAACUUUUCGGCCUUGUUCCUUGUUGUGAGACCUGCUAAACUUCUAGCAAUGUGUAUCCAGAGGUCUUCGAUUGGGUUCAGAUCCGGCGACUGAGAAAGCCACGACAUAAGAUGAAUUCCAUUUUCACUGAACAUCUCCUUCAUCGUCUUCGAAACAUAUUUCGGAUCGUUGUCCUGUUGGGAAACCUACGGCGUUUGGAACGUAUCUCUGGCGUGUAACAUUGCUCAAAAUUUUCCUGCAGUAUUUGGAGUUCACAACAGUGGUGAAUGUGGCCUGUUCCGUGUGCACGGAAACAUCCCCAAAGCAUAACAGUUCCUCCGCCACGUUUAGUAGUUGAUAUAUUCUGUCGUACCUCGUGGCUUUUGGACGUUCUACGUAGUGUGGUUCAUCAGAUCCAAAUAGUUUGAACUUGCUCUCGUCACUGAAAAGCAUUUUUCCAAUCGUCUAUCGUC
rnacentral:ncRNA from 1 species